rnacentral:misc_RNA from 1 species
GAUGAAUGAACGUAGCGAAAUGCGAUAAGUAAUGUGAAUUGCAGAAUUCAGUGAAUCAUCGAAUCUUUGAACGCACAUUGCGCCCGUCAGUAUUCUGGCGGGCAUGCCUGUUCGAGCGUCAUUACGCCCCUCAAGUCCCCUGUGGACUUGGUGUUGGGGAUCGGCGAGGCUGGUUUUCCAGCACAGCCGUCCCUUAAAUUAAUUGGCGGUCUCGCCGUGGCCCUCCUCUGCGCAGUAGUAAAACACUCGCAACAGGAGCCCGGCGCGGUCCACUGCCGUAAAACCCCCCAACUUUUUAUAGUUGACCUCGAAUCAGGUAGGACUACCCGCUGAACUUAAGCAUAUCAAUAAGCGGAGGA